AUUUGGCUGUUGGACAUCGAUCAGACGCUAGCUUCACACACAUAAUUAUCUAUGAAUUUGCGAAAACUGCAUUUUUGCAAGCUGGCAUCACUGUCAAUGCGCAUAUCCAGAAUCCAGUUUGUUUUCGUAUUUUGGUGGGUGAAACAGAUAUUCGCUGCAACUUCUUCGCAACUUCCAAAUCUUAAAUAGAAACUUUUGUUGAGGUCAUACAGUUCAUCAGGUCUAAUCACAAGAAGAAAUCACAAAAAUCCUACAUUAGGUAGCUUAUCCAUCCAUACAUUGGGUCGAAUGAUGCAGCAGGUUUGAAGUCCAUCGCCGAACUAGAAAGUAAAUCAUGUUAUUCACGCUCUACUACAUGUACGCGACAUUUGUGCAAUGGUGGAAAUUAGGUGCCCUUAAAAAUAAAUUGAGAGGGACCCUAAGUUCUAAUAAUGCCUUAUUAGUAUGCGACGAGAAGGUUAUUUGCGAUACUAGGAAAAAUAGGAGCAUUGAGAAUUUGCUUUUUAAAGAAGAAAAUAGGAUUGGUGUUACUGUAGUACCGAAGCAAAAAAUCAACCUUAGUUCACAAUGGCUGUACUUUCCAAGAGAUUCCAGAUAUUUUCCUAUAUUUUUUAACCAAAGCAGAGCUCCUAUCUACAGCCCAAAUAUAUACGUUUUAAUUCAAGCGAUCUUAGAGUCCUAUAAAAAACAUCAAGCCGAAGUAUUAGAGAUUGAGAAUUUCGGAGAAUUAGUAGCUUGGAAAGUUACUGACCAUUUUGAGGCCAUUCUAAAAACGGAUAUGGAUAAGUUGACGAAACUAAUUCAUUGUUUCUCUCAAAGAGAUUGUGAUAUUAACCAUGAGCUUCAGUUGCUAAAAAUAGAAACUAUUGACAUUGAUGGUGUUGCUAAAAGAAUCGUUUAUGAAAGGCAGUAUUCUAUAGAAUCUUCCCAAAAAUAUUCUUUAGCGCCUGUGCACUGGAAGAAGUUUGUUAAGGAUGUCAAGGACCUGUACUCAAAAAUUAGAGAUGCCACCAAUCCUAAAAUAACUAUUGACAAUGGCACGCCAAAACCAGAAGAAGUGAAAAUAGUUCCUGUUUCUGAAGUUAAGCCUAUUAAAAAGGAUAAAAAAGCAACCGAGGAAAAGAAUACAUUGGACGUAAAUUGUUCAGACUAUAGGAGACACAGAAGUACAGAGCAUAAACACAGAAAACAUCGUUCUAAAGAUGAGGCAGAAUCGCCGAGAUCUCAGAAACUUACCGAUAAGGACAAGGAUGAAAGAACUGAGACUAGUGUCGUAGUGGAGGAUGAAGUAGAAGGUCUGAUAAUCGAAGAAAAAGAUAUGCAACCUGAAGCUGGACCUAGUAGACAGCAUAUAGAAGAGGUUGAAUUUAAACAUGAAGAAAAUAAGGAAAUCAAAGAAAAAAAACAAAAAGACCAUAGGGAACACAAAGAACAUAGGCAUAAGGAAAAACAUAAACACAAAAAGGCAGAAAGCAAAGACAGAGAAAGUAAAGGAGAGAGAAGUAAAGAGAAAGCGUCAACUGAAGAGCAUCAACCUAGUGAUUCUGGUGCGCAAAAAAAGUCAGCCGAGAAAAUUAAAAAGGAAGGAAGAACCUCUAGUAAGGAGAAAAAGCUUGUCAGAGCAUCGGCUACUUGUGAUGAGCCUACCGACACUAAUAAAGUUCAAGGUACAACUCAAAUACAAAAUGGCUCAGUUUCUCAGAAGGUAAACCCUGAGAAAUUCACAGAAACUGUGCCUGAAACCGCUAGUUUAAAUGAUCCAAAUAUAGAAGUAGAAUCACCGGCAGAUUCGGACGAUUUCACAGGAGACAGAAAAAUGUUACAAAAUGCAAAACCUUUGAAUGUUUUAGUGUAUUCAGAAAGCUCACUUGCUAGAACUAACGUUAAGGAAGCUCUUGAAACUAUUUUAAAUAAAUUAAGAUAUACAAUUUACGAUCUCCCAAAAGGUGGCAGCCUUGCAUGGCGCGAAACGGCUGCGCUAGUUGUUGUGUGUGGCAACGUGGAUCCCAAAUUGACUUAUCAUUUAAUGAAGUAUCUUUUAAAUGGCGGACAGUUACUUUGCCUUUGUAGUGACUUACUGUAUAGUGUUUUACACAAUUUUACUACUGCAGAGGUCAGAGAGCACGAAUUAGUUCGUUUUACUUAUGGCAAGUGGCGAAACGUGAAAAUGAUGCACCACGUUUUUUGCUACCAAGCAUCUCCUGCGAAAAAACAAUUUUCCAAAGACUCAGACGCGUCAAAUCAAAGUAGCGGCAACGGAUCGAGUCCGAUUGCUCCCAAAACUCCAUCCACUGUUGAAAUUCAGCACGGCGGCAAAGAUUAUACCAUCCAAGUACAAAUCUUAGGCGCAGAAGAAACGUGGCAGACGCCUAGUUUGUUACUGGCAUCUGUUAAAGGAACAGAAGGAAAGGCCGUCUUUUCGCAGAUUCAUCUAGAAAUUGAUCCAGUCGAAUAUGAAGAGGAUGAAAACUACUACAAAGCUCUCACAGGCAGCAAUCAAGAUCGACUAGAUAUUCUUAAAGAUCUUUUGGUCAAUCAAUUAGGAUUAGAUUGUAAUAAUAUAGAAGAUCCUGUUUUGACCCCCGCUUAUUUUUUGGGUUGCCAUGAACUUAAAUUGGCCAUGAUGUCGGAAUCUCAUUCAAUAAAAGAAGACGAAAUGACUGUUGGUGACAUGCACGUUCUUUUUUGUGGAAAGGAUGAUCCUUAUGAUGAACCGACAACAAAGUUUCUGCCGAUUCUUGUGCAUGCGUGUCCACAGAAUUUUAAUACUGUUAGCUAUUUUGAUACAUUGAACACUAAGUAUAUUGGGAGACUGGUUAUUUACAGUGACGUUAUGGCUACUACACAUCAACUAGUAAAGCAUUCACAGCUGUCACAUGGAAUUGCUGUAAUUACAAGACAGCAAUUGGCAGGAGUUGGUCGCUCAAAGAAUAGAUGGUUAAGUCCCGCUGGUAGUGCUUUGUUUUCCCUACAGUUACAUAUUUCAACAAUAACAAAUUUAGGAAAAUCUCAGGGUUUAAUACAGCAUUUAAUCAUGGUUGCGGUCGUCAAAGCAGUUAAACACCUUACUGGAAAUCAUACCGAUAUACAUUUAGGUAUUAAAUGGCCAAAUGACUUGUAUGCGAAUGGCAUUAAGAUUGGUGGAGCUAUGGUUACAUCAACUAUAUUAGGCGAGUUAGCUUCAAUUAAUAUUGGUUGUGGCGUAAAUCUCUCAAACUCUCUUCCAACCACGUGUAUAAAUGACAUUAUUAAGAAUGUGAACCAACAGAAAAACUCCGGCAUUCCUGAAAUUAGCCAUGAAAUGUUUUUCGCGCAAGUAUUUAAUGAGACUGAAAAAUUAAUAGACAGGAUGCAGGUCGGAAACUUUGAUUACUUUUACGACUAUUACUAUGAGUACUGGUUACACAAUGAUGCCGUGGUAACAGUAACAAAGCAAGGUAAGCUUCAACAAGCAAAAGUAGUUGGCAUUAGCGAUCAAGGCUACCUCAAAGUCAAAUCUGCCAAUGGAGAAAUCGAGGUAGUACAUCCGGACGGAAACACUUUUGAUAUGUUAAAAGGCCUUAUUUACCCCAAAGACUUUUAGAUUCUUCUUUAAUAGGGCUUGCCCAUUCAGCAUACCUUAUGGGGGUCAAUAUAUUUCUUAUAUUGAACCAUAUCAUCUCCAGUUCCCGAUUUACCAGAGAGUUAAAAGCAUAAGAUUUGCCCUGGUUGUGCCUACCUGAACUAUCUUGGGUUAAAGAUAAUUGACCUAACAUGGAAACGUUGGACUUUAUUUCUUGAAUAGUCCUAAAACCUGACAACAUACUUUUUAGGAAAAAUAGUGUUAUACCUAUUUUUGUAGUUAAUAGAUAUAUUUGAUACUGGAAUAGGGAGGCAAUACGUUCUGCCGUUUACUAAAUAUACAAAUUUGUUUUUUUUUUCAAUAUUUAACCGAAGCGAAAAAACUUUAUAUUACUAUGUAACUAAUCAUAAUCAUGGACAAUUUUUUUUAUCUAUAGACUAGAGCCGAGACUAAGAUCAAAUUGUUGUACAUCUUAAACUAAAUUCAUAAAAUAGUUAAGUGUUUAUUUUUAUAUCUCACAGUAGAUAGAAAUUCCAGCGUAUUUAUUAGGCUGUUUUAAAUAAAUUUUUAAAGUCGUAAUAAACAAUAUAAUUAUAUGUAUUAAAAAUAUCGAUGUUAUUAAAUGUGAACCUUGUAAAAACUAUUGUUGCAAAUUUAAAUUUUAAAAUAAAAAUUAUCAGUGUUUUGUAAA
rnacentral:misc_RNA from 1 species